CCUACGGGAGGCUGCAGUGAGGAAUAUUGGUCAAUGGCCGGAAGGCUGAACCAGCCAUGCAGCGUGAAGGACAGCGGCCUAAGGGCGUUAAACUUCUUUUGUGCGGGAGCAAUAAUGGUCACGUGUGGCCAGACGAGAGUACCGUACGAAUAAGCAACGGCUAACUCCGUGCCAGCAGCCGCGGUAAUACGGGGGAUGCAAGCGUUAUCCGGAUUUAUUGGGGGUAAAGGGCGUGGAGGCGGGAGCGCAAGUCAGAUGUGAAAACUCAGGGCUCAACCCUGAGCCUGCAUUUGAAACUGGGAUUCUUGAGUGCUGGAGAGGCAAUCGGAAUUCGGUGUGUAGCGGUGAAAUGCGUAGAUAUACGGAGGAACACCAGUGGCGAAGGCAGAUUGCUGGACAGUAACUGACGCUGAGGCGCGAAAGCGUGGGGAGCAAACAGGAUUAGAUACCCGUGUAGUC
rnacentral:rRNA from 1 species